UGCACUUUGUAAAUCACGUGUGAUUUGCAAGUCACGCCUCUUUUGGGGAGAAAUUGAAUGUGCACUAAAUACUGCUACUGUUUACAUAGUUGUUGCCAUGGAUGCAAAGUUUUUUUUUUUUAAUUAAGACUUGAUUGGAGAAUUAAAUGGAUAUAAAUAAAAAUGUCUAUUUAUUUAACUUAUUUUUCAGGAGGACUGGAAGACAUUUGGGUGUUGAGUCAAAUUUAAUGGAAAAAUUCAGUGCGAACCUGCAAUGUUUAUAAAUGGAGGGCAGUAAAACUUGAAAAUAUGCCGCACAGCUAUAUGUUUUUAUUAGUGCAAAAAAAAGUAGUGCAUGUCUCCUUUCCAGGGAAAUCUAACAUUCUCCUCAAAACUUCCUGAAUGAAGAGUGACUGCAUAUGCAAUUUAGGCAGUUCCUAUGGAAAAUUGCAUUGCUGGUUUUACACAAGUGCAACCUAUAAGACCAUGGGCAGCACGACUUCCUGGUUCGAUGGGAACCCCAGCCGCUUGACAGAGUUUCACGAUGGAUUCUCCAGGGCCAUUAUUUACGUUAUGUAUAGCUAAACAACAUUAGCACUGUGUUGCAUACUUGAAGUGGAAGGAGCUGGUAUAUUAGAACCAAGAAAUAAUUUCUGUAGACCAGUUGUGCUGAUAGCUAUGUGAUUAAGUGCGACUUGUAUGGAUAGAUUAAUAGCUGCUGUUCGACGACCACGUUUCUUUGCGAUCACCUCAUUGUAAAGGUUGAACAUUUUUGAAUGCACAUUUUUCAACUUCUGUUUUUGUCGGAGGCUUCGGCCUUAGAAAGCGAGCUGAUUUUGUAGAGGCAGGAAUGAGUUGAACAUUCUUAUUAUGAACAGAUUUAGUCACUAAGUCAUACAAGUCUUUUGGUAGUCUCACAAAUUUGCCUUUUUCAGCAGGAGGACUGGAAGACAUUUGGGUGUUGAGUCAAAUUUAAUGGAAAAAUUCAGUGCGAACCUGCAAUGUUUAUAAAUGGAGGGCAGUAAAACUUGAAAAUAUGCCGCACAGCUAUAUGUUUUUAUUAGUGCAAAAAAAAGUAGUGCAUGUCUCCUUUCCAGGGAAAUCUAACAUUCUCCUCAAAACUUCCUGAAUGAAGAGUGACUGCAUAUGCAAUUUAGGCAGUUCCUAUGGAAAAUUGCAUUGCUGGUUUUACACAAGUGCAACCUAUAAGACCAUGGGCAGCACGACUUCCUGGUUCGAUGGGAACCCCAGCCGCUUGACAGAGUUUCACGAUGGAUUCUCCAGGGCCAUUAUUUACGUUAUGUAUAGCUAAACAACAUUAGCACUGUGUUGCAUACUUGAAGUGGAAGGAGCUGGUAUAUUAGAACCAAGAAAUAAUUUCUGUAGACCAGUUGUGCUGAUAGCUAUGUGAUUAAGUGCGACUUGUAUGGAUAGAUUAAUAGCUGCUGUUCGACGACCACGUUUCUUUGCGAUCACCUCAUUGUAAAGGUUGAACAUUUUUGAAUGGAGGACUGGAAGACAUUUGGGUGUUGAGUCAAAUUUAAUGGAAAAAUUCAGUGCGAACCUGCAAUGUUUAUAAAUGGAGGGCAGUAAAACUUGAAAAUAUGCCGCACAGCUAUAUGUUUUUAUUAGUGCAAAAAAAAGUAGUGCAUGUCUCCUUUCCAGGGAAAUCUAACAUUCUCCUCAAAACUUCCUGAAUGAAGAGUGACUGCAUAUGCAAUUUAGGCAGUUCCUAUGGAAAAUUGCAUUGCUGGUUUUACACAAGUGCAACCUAUAAGACCAUGGGCAGCACGACUUCCUGGUUCGAUGGGAACCCCAGCCGCUUGACAGAGUUUCACGAUGGAUUCUCCAGGGCCAUUAUUUACGUUAUGUAUAGCUAAACAACAUUAGCACUGUGUUGCAUACUUGAAGUGGAAGGAGCUGGUAUAUUAGAACCAAGAAAUAAUUUCUGUAGACCAGUUGUGCUGAUAGCUAUGUGAUUAAGUGCGACUUGUAUGGAUAGAUUAAUAGCUGCUGUUCGACGACCACGUUUCUUUGCGAUCACCUCAUUGUAAAGGUUGAACAUUUUU